rnacentral:lncRNA from 1 species
AAGCAAUCUGCCCUCCUUGGCCUCCCAAAGUGCUGGGAUUACAAGCAUAGGCCACUCUGCUGGACUGAUUUCUGCAAUUUCUAAGCAAAGCCUCUUUAAAACCUUAAGAUUCAGCCGGGCGCGGUGGCUCAAACCUGUAAUCCCAGCACUUUGGGAUGCCGAGACGGGCGGAUCACGAGGUCAGGAGAUCGAGACCAUCCUGGUGAACACGGUGAAACCCCGUCUCUACUAAAAAGUACAAAAAAAGUAGCUGGGUGAGGUGGCAGGCGCCUGUAGUCCCAGCUACUCGGGAGCCUGAGGCAGGAGAAUGGCCUGAAUCCGGGAGGCGGAGCUUGCAGUGAGCUGAGAUCCGGCCACUGCACUCCAGCCUGGGCUACAGAGCGAGACUCCAUCUCAAAAAAAAAAAAAAAAAAAACCUUAAGAUUCAUCCACACUCAAAAUAUUUAUGGCUGGGUGCAGUGCCUCAUGUCUGUAGUCCCAGCACUUUGAGAGGCCAAAGUGGGAGCCCAGGAGUAUGAGAGCAGCCUGGGCAACACAGGGAGACCCUGUAUCUAUUAAGAAAAAAAAAUUAUAGCAGCCAGGUAUGGUGGCUCACACCUGUAAUCCCAACACUUUCGGAGGUUGAGGUGGGCGGGUCACCUGAUGUCAGGAUAUCGACACCAGCCUGGCCAACAUGGUGAAACCUCGUUUCUACUAAAAAUACAAAAAUUAGCUGGGCAUGGUGGUAGGUACCUGUAAUCCCAACUACUUGGAAGGCUGAUGCAGGAGAAUCGCUUGAACAUGGGAGGUGGAGGUUGCAGUGAGCUGAGAUCACACCACUGCACUCCAGCCUAGGCGACUGAGGGAGACUCGGUCUCAAAAAAAAAAAAAAUUAAAAAUUAAAAAAUUAACCAGAUACUAUGGUAUAUGCCUGUAGUCCCAGCUAUUUAAGGGGCUGAGGUCAGAGGACUGCUUGAGCCCAGGAGUUUAGGCUGCAGUGGGCUAUGAUCAGGUCAUUGCACUCCAGCUUGAGUGAGAGACCGAGACCCUGUCUCUUAAAACAAUUUAUGGCCUCAUUUUAACAUCAAACAGUGGACUGUAUUCAGGAAAAUGUUUAGAAAAUGACAAAAAAUGAAAAAGAAAGACAACAGUAGACUAUCACAAGGAGACAAGAAGUCUGCCCAGCUCCAUCUCUGAGUACUGAAGGUUAGCUCACAUCGUUUUC